GUAACUUCACAUGAAUAGCUAAAAAUAAAAAAAAAUAAAAAAAAAUAAAAAAAAUUCACUUGAUGGGAUAUACGUGUCCUAGGAUUAGGUUAUAGGGGAAACAAAUGUACAUUUGGUAUUACUUUUGUGAUAAAAUGACAUGUGCCCAAAUAAAUUGGGAGAGAGUUAGUAAGAAACAACUAGAUAAAUUACACUAGAAACUUCUUGAUGGAAUAAAGACCAAUUGAUCCACUAGCUCACAACUCACACACUCCCUUGUUUUUCUCACAAAACAAAGGAAACAGCAAACCCAACCAAGAACAAGGGGGUUCAAGCAAAGGAUUGGAAGGAGGUCAAGGUAAAACUAAGAUUGGGGGGUUCCAGACAUAGCUAAGGAGUUCUUUGGAGGUAGGAGUUCUAAGGAGGAGUGAUUAACCCUUUGUGGUUUAAGGGUUUUCCAUGUAAAACGAUACAUUCCAGUUCCUCAUACCAUCGGAAAACGGUGGAGGGCUUUGAGAGCGCAAGGGAUGGGCGGCUGAUUCGACGGAUGAACGGGGCUUGUGGCGGUGGUGAGCGGCAGCUAUGACUGUACCUUAAGGGCGAUUCUAGUUGGUCAAUCUUAAGGCGGAUCCGGACGUGCUGUGGACUAUCUACGGAGGGACGACACUUGGAGUCCUAAAGACUUGUUCUUGUUCGGUUCGGGCGCAGCUAGGGAGGGCACGCAACAAAGAGUAUGCAUCUAAAUUAUGCUAUAUGAUUAUGUGUAAAUAAUAUGUUGUCCUGGGUUAAUGGUUGUUUCCGCAUGAUCUAUGUAAUGUCAUAUGUAUCAUAACCUAACAGUGGUAUCACGAGCCCCUUAUUAUUUUCAUAAUCUAAAUUUCAUAAACAGGGUUAAAUAUUACAAAUUUGCAAGAAUUAAAAGGGGUGAUUAAUUUUCGUAAUUGUUAAUUAAUUGCAAAUUGCGUUUAUUUAAUUAUACGUACGCAGUUUUUCGGCAGUUUCUUCGUUACUCAUCCAAAUCGAGUGAUAUUUGUGUCAAUUCCGCAUGUAAAAGGCAUUCUAAAAUUUUGACAAAAAUAGUAUUUUUCUGCCGAACCCAGAAUUCUCAAAUUCGAAGCCUAACUAUGACUUUUCGAAGGUUUUAGUUUUUCGAAUGCAAAAUUUCGUAAAUUUAAGAUGUUAAAUUAAAUAUUUGCGAUUCUUGUUGAUAAAUCCUGAAUUUUUGAUUGACCUACUGUAUAUGU